UACAGGGGGUGCAAACGUUGCUCGGAAUUAUUGGGCGUAAAGCGCGCGUAGGCGGCUACCUAAGUCGGAUGUGAAAGCCCCUGGCUUAACUGGGGAAGUGCACCCGAAACUGAGUAGCUAGAGUGCGAAAGAGGGUCGCGGAAUUCCCGGUGUAGAGGUGAAAUUCGUAGAUAUCGGGAGGAACACCGGUGGCGAAGGCGGCGACCUGGGUCGACACUGACGCUGAGGAGCGAAAGCGUGGGGAGCGAACAGG
rnacentral:rRNA from 1 species